UGAACUCAGGAUCCCUAGAAGAGCAGUCAGUGCUCUUAACCGCUGAGCCAUCUCUCUAGCCCCAAGCUUAACAUCUUAAAGUUUAUUAAUCAAGUAUUAUGUUACAACAAGCCAGUUAGAAUAUUUUCAUCUACCAAUCAGGUAAGACUGAAAUAUUAUAAUUAAAAUGAAUAUUAUAGAGAGCAUACAAUAAAAUUUAGAGAAGAAAACAAAGGAAAAUACACUAACAGAGGCCAGGAGUAAAAAUGUAAUCACGAGCCUUCAUUUGUGAUUGUAGCAUGAAAUGGAACAUUAAAGGUUGAAAACUCAAAAACAGAAAAGUCACACAAUCUUAUCAAUAGCAGGCAGAAUGUAUUAGUCCUCACUACCUAGUGUUGCCAAGGCAAGGGGGCAGAGAAGUCAAGUCAGAAGAAGGCCAAGAAUUUACUUUAUUUCUGUGAGCAACAUUAGAAAUACUUCACUACAUACUAGAAUUGCUGCUACCCAGACUGUAUGAGUGUAUACAUAUACUACAAAUAAAGUGACUUAUUCUGAAAAUUAUUUAAAUUGGCUCUAAAAUAUUUUAUAAGCUAGUAGAUAAGCUCACGUUUGUAAAGGAUUUUGGGAAGUUGGGCACAUGCUGGGGUUAUAACUCAGAUAUUUAACGCUGCAGCAGCAUGUGGACAGCCAGCCAGGCCGGGGUGCAGCUCAGGGAGAGUAGAGUGCGUGUGCUCAGCUCCCCCGACCUAGGAGCCAGUCCCUAGCACACUUUCACUCUGGAAACGGGAAAGAGACAAGAAAAAGUACAAAUUUUGGACUUUCUGAAUUCGGUAUCAAAAAGUAUGAGAGUAAGUAACAAAGCAAGACAAGAGUUCCUAUAUGUAAUAUUAAAAGGUCAUAAAACAAGAAGUUAGAAGCAGUGUUAGAAGGGUUUAGUAAAGACUAGAAGUAAAGAACACAGCAGGUAGAAAUUGAACUUGAAGAUUGUAGCUACUCUAAGGGAUGUUUCCACAGACACUCAAGUAACAGUCACCACUUAGAGAAAUGAGUUGUUAACAAAAAGGCCAAGUAAAACUGCCCAGUGCUGACCGAGGCCACACAUCUUAAAUAGCUGUUCUCAGAGAGAAGCACCAUCCACCACUAGAUCUAAGGGCAAAAACCCUGUGUUCCACAUUACUAAAUAAAAUCAACAAUCGAUCCUAAGUUAACGAUAAUCUAAAAUCAGAGAUUGUCAGACAAUUAAAUAUGCCUUAAGGGAUAAAAAGAAGAGCUAGACUGUUGCUGGUGGCAUGUGAUAUUCUUUGAGGAGGAAGUGGUGGAGGAGGAGGUGCUAGCAGGGACAGAAAUUUUCUAGAAUUAUACAGCUUUGAUGUCCUUGUCCUUUACCCCAAACCAAAACAAAUGAACAAAAAACAAAAAUCAAACUCUAAAAUAUCUGGUCUUUAUAAUGAAGCUACCUACUCAUUACUGUUUAGUGCCUAGGCCGAAUCCUUAAUAGGUUAUAGUUAUAGUUCAUGUGUUUCCUAUUAACAUGAAAACAAGGAUCACUGCUAAAUCUGCAUUAACCUCCAUUUCUCAGCUGGCCAUGGGGUGCAGUCAUAACACCAGCACUCCAGAGGCUGAGGCAGGAGAAUCAUGCAUUUAAGGCCAACCUGGGCUAUGUGACAAAACCCCGCUGUAAACCCAACAUAAGGUGUAAUAGAAUUCUCCUUGGCUUGCCAAAGAUAAAGUGCUUUCCCAGCUAAUUCCAUAGUACACCCUGCCUUAAAAGACUUCUACUACAACAGAUUAUUUUU
rnacentral:sRNA from 1 species